rnacentral:rRNA from 1 species
GUCUUUUUGAUAAUAAUUUAAAGUCUAACCUGCCCAAUGAAAUAAUUUUUAAUGGCUGCGGUAUUUUGACCGUACAAAGGUAGCAUAAUCAUUAGUUUUUUAAUUGAAAGCUAGAAUGAAUGGUUGGACGAGAAAAUUUCUGUCUCAAUUUAAUUUAAUUAGAAUUUUAUUUUUAAGUUAAAAAGCUUAAAUAAAUUUUAAAGACGAGAAGACCCUAUAGAGUUUUAUAUUUAAUUUAAUUAUUUAUUUUUGUAUUUAAAAAAUUAAAUUUAGUAUUUUAUUGGGGUGAUAAUUAAAUUUAAUAAACUUUAAUUUUUAAAAACAUUAAUUUAUGUUUAAUUGAUCCAUUAUUUUUGAUUAAAAGAUUAAAUUACCUUAGGGAUAACAGCGUAAUUUUUUUUAAGAGUUCUAAUCGAAAAAAAAGAUUGCGACCUCGAUGUUGGAUUAAAAUUUAAAUUUGGUGUAGAAGCUAAAUUUUUAAGUCUGUUCGACUUUUGAAAUUUUACAUGAUCUGAGUUCAGACC